rnacentral:lncRNA from 1 species
CAAGCUUCAAGCAUUAUCUGUAAAUUCAGUGGAUGAAAAUGAGAUUAUUGAUCUACAACCCCUCUCUUCUCCACCUCCAUUUCUCCAGAGAGUCUACUUGACAGGACGUCUUGAGGCGUUACCAGAUUGGAUAUCAUCUCUUGAUAGCCUAACGGUAUUGUAUCUGAGAUGUAGUCAGUUAAAGGAUAAUCCUCUGCCAUCUCUUGGGAAAUUGCCUAAUCUUGUGCAUCUCGCCUUGCUUCAGGCUUAUGAAGGAACCAAGCUGUGUUUCAAAGCCUACGACUUUAUGAAGCUAAGGUUUCUGAUCCUUGGUCCUUUUGACAAACUCAAAUGCGUGGAAGUGGAAAAGGGAUCCAUGCCUUGUCUUGAGGAGUUGAUUAUUGAGAGUUGUAAGUUAUUGAAGAAGCUUCCAUCCGGAAUUGAGCACCUGGAAAAGCUGAAAGUGAUGAAGUUUGUUGACAUGCCUGAUGAGUUUGUGAAGAAACUUAUGCCAGAUGGACAAGACGAUAUUUACCUGAAAGUGGCCCAUGUUCCAGAAGUAUAUUACGGUUGCCGGAGAGGUGGAGGAUGGGAAGUCGUGCUCACCAAGGCAUUUGUGUGAGGAGCGUUGAAUUUCCUCCAUGCUUGAAAUGACUGGCUGAGCCUAGGCUGUAUAAUACUUUUUGCGAGGUAUUAGCGAUUGAAUGACUGUAAUGCUCGAAAAUCCUUGUUACUUCGUGAUAAUAGUUUAAAAGCAUAGUGUAGGGUUACUAUGGGUCUGUAAAUGACAUUUAGCAGCUGUUGGCAAUAUUCUGCAACGUCCCUUUUCCUCACAGAAGAGAAGGGUCAAGUGAUGGUGUAUAUACACCUUUGAACUUCUUGGAGUGUAUGCAGAUUUGAGAUGAAAUUCUGCUAUUAUGAGAAACCAUUUAGAUGUUUGUCACCACCGUACAUGAUUAUUUGAGUAUUACUUUUGCGGGCUAGGCCCAAAUGGUGCGUAUCAGGUUGUUAAGAGUCCUACUUGUGAAGCAUCCGAUGCGCCACCUGGGGUAUUACAGUUUCAGUCCCCCGAACAGUCUCAACAUUGCUCUUCUACAAGUCAGUGAAGACACUUUCCCAUGUUUUCCUCUUUAAAAAUGGCUUUUGCUGCCUUGACCACGACAAGUCUCUUGCGGUUCCGUUAAUCGUAUAACGUCCCCAUGCAAGGAAUUUUAGCAUACGAGACUUCUGGUGAAGGUCCAAAGUUUUGUUUUCCGGGAACUUAAAUGCUUUUUUCCAUAAACAUCCUCUCUCUCUCUCUCUCUCUCUCUCUCUCUCUCUCUCUCUNNNNNNNNNNNNNNNNNNNNNNNNNNNNNNNNNNNNNNNNNNNNNNNNNNNNNNNNNNNNNNNNNNNNNNNNNNNNNNNNNNNNNNNNNNNNNNNNNNNNCCCCCCCCCCCCCCAACCUCAAUGGACAGUAACUUCACUCUAUUUGUUUCGCAAAAAAUUUUGACAUUUCUGAAAAAAAAAUUCCUAUGCAAGGUUCCUGAACCAAGCCUCUGUGGACCCAAGCUUGGCAUUUGUAGACCUGGGCCAAGCCUCGAUGGACCCAAACCGGAGCAUCGAUGACUUGAACAUGAUGGUCAAGUACCCAAGCAAGGGCACCGGGGUCUAGGGGCCCAGCCUCGAGAGACACAGGCCUGAGUGCCAUUGACCCAGCCACAAGAGUCGGGUACUUGAGCACUGCCGCCAGGAACCCCAACACAGAUACCAGGGUCUUGGACCCAGCCUCCAAGGACCUAGACUCGGCCUUUACGAACCCCGACCCACGUGUGACGGGGGCGCAUGAGCCAAGUACCUGAGCAUGGCUGCCCAAGACUCGCGCUCCUACAUCAGGAUCUCAGGCCCGGGUGCCUGGUAUCUUGAUGGAGGCAAAGUAAAACGACAACUUCAACCAUGAAUCGUAUGUUUUAGGAUUUUGCGCUCAAACAAAACUCGAGGAAGGCAGUGACAACCGACAAUAAGCACCAACUAGGAAGAGGAUCCAUAUUGAAUCGGCAAGGAGUGAGACGAAAGUGACCACUGUCAAUUUCCCUGGCCAUACAAAUGCCCAUUCACGCAACGGCGGAAUCUUGAUGGAGAGGAAAAGCUCUUCCAUCAAGGAAUUGCAUUCAUUUCCUUCGUAUUUUGCAACAUCUUCAACAGCAAGAUGUUACUUCCAAAUUACUGGGCGAACGUUCCACAACAGGACAGGUCUCAACCAUAAUCAAGUACCUUUCUUUCAAGAUUUCUUGUGGCUCAGUAGGACCUCCUGCUUCCCCAUCCAUAUCUGAUAUCAAUGCUUGCAAGCUCAACAUAAGGAAGUUCGCUCCAUUGGAUAGCUUGUGAUUCAUAAGGAUUUCAAAGCCAGCCGUCCCUGAUCAGGCAAAGCAUGUUCGCAGAGGUUUGAACAUGGAGUGUCCUACUUUUCAUCACAAGUACGUCCACCGAAUGUUCAAUAAAAUGCCAAGCAGGAAACGGUAAAGAAGGUACAAAACGGUAGACAUUCCGAAUACACGGAGUUAUGAGUGACUCAGAACGUGUCUUGGAAUUGGUUUUAUUAUUAUUAUUAUUAUUUUAUUUUAUUUUUUUCGGGUAUAGCACGUUCAUUCAGGAGAUUGGUGCUAGUAAAAGUAGCUUUCUCAUCCUCAUGGGAUAGCCUUUUCACCCCCGGCAUGGGAAGUCAGCUCGAGGUUGUCGUGACCGAUGGUGCUAAUGUUAGCAACGAUCAGUUAGGGCAUGGUCUAUUUCUCACUUGUCUGGGAAGGGCAAGAAAUCUAGUUCAUUGGAGACUAGAUCCUAGAAAUUCGCUUGAAGGUAGACAUGUAAAAUCUCUGCAUGCUGGUCACUGAAUGAAGCCAUGGAAGAAUCAAAGAAGAGAGCACGUUGAAAAUUUUAAGCAUAUGGCCUCAGUUGCUUGUGUAGCAUAGUAGGUGAACUAGUCUCCCUUUCCUCAGAAACAAUGAACUUCACGAGUAUCUCAGCAAUAAAUCACAUGAUCCUCUUACGCCUUCACGACAGCACUAACUCCAACAAGGAGUUGCCCAGAAAUUGCUCGGAGAAUACCAAUAACUUCUUCUUGCCUGAGCUUCUAAGGAGGUUUCAGUUCAAGUCUUGUCCGUUUUGAAGCUUUGUACGAAGUUAGGUUGCUUCAUAUCCAUAAAGCCCUGACCGAUUCUUUUACUCAAUGAAGCAAGCUUCAGAAAGCUUAAACACAAUGGUAUCCUGAAACAGAAUAGUUUGCCUGCAAAUGUUCAGUAACUUUCACUGGAUACAAUUAUCGAAAAUCAAUGGCCGGCCGAUAGCCAUUCGGCAAAAAGUCACUUUCAUUAUCAUUAGUAUGAAAAUAUAUUCAGUACUUGCAGUGAACUUGCCUAGUAAACAGGAACUCUGACCAUUUAGGAAAAAGUCACUCCCACUGACAUUAGUAUAAAAAUAUAUUCAGUAGUUGCAGUGAACUUGUCUAGUAACAGGAAUCUUGACCAUUCAGGAAAAAGUCACUCUCAUGAACAUUAGUCUAAAAGUAUAUUCAGCACUUGCAAUGAACUUGCCCAGUAAAGAAAAAAAUUGAUUAGAACCACAUCAGAAGUUUGUGAGUAUAAAACAUGAGUGAAUUGGAAAAUAAUUUUCUUGUCAUUUCCUUUGAAAUGUUAAACAACAAUCUUAAUAAAAGUUUCAGAGAGUCAGGUAUAUUUGUACACAAACCAAGCAACUUAAGCACGCAAUCCUACUAAAAGAUAUCAAUAAUGGUUAAUUUCAACUUACUAAGACAGAGUGUGCGGUUUUUUAAUUUGUUAAGCAGGUUUGCAUAAUAACCAAACAGCUAUGAACUGAUGGAUGACUAGACAUCAGAAGCUUGACCAUUUCCACACCAAACCCCCGGCCUGUGGGAGCACUAUGUUAGAGGAUACCAGCUAGUGUAUUCUCCAGAACUUCGAUAUACGCAAAAUAGAGCAUGGCAGAAAUUGCAGUGAACUGCCUCCUUGACAAGCUCAAGGACUUUAGAGAAAACGGGGUUCUAUUCAGAGGUGCCGAGGAAGAAGCAGAGCCAAAAAACAUCAAGGUGCUGAUCAUAAUCAAGUACCUCUCUUUCAAGACGGAUCUGGCCACCAACGAAUGAACCGCUUCCUAGGAGAAAGAUGAGCUCGUCUAUCGCCACAUCUGCUAAAUCAAAACGGUCACUCACACCGAAACAGACGAUGAACUUCCCCUAUCUAUUUCAUCAUAAACUGAAUGAUUGUUGGAGAGAUACAGAGAGGGAAUGCACGCUCAAGUAUAAAUUGUGAAGAAGACCGAUUUGAAUCAUUCAAAACACUGAGAACGACUAUAAUCUUGUCCUAAUUCCUCAAUUUAGGUGAUUUAGCCCAAUUCGUUGAUUUGGGCCAAAAGGACGUUAUGUACGCUCUAUUUUGUUGACUUCAUUUCAGCGGCAAGACACAAUGGCCAAUUUGUAUUAAAUUGAUGCCAUGUCGGAUCUUUUGGCCACACAAAUCGCCAAUGGUGAUCGAGUGAAGAAUUUUUAACUAGCGUGGCAUAUAAUUGAUAGAAACAAGUUAUGGCACUCAUGUAAGUACUAUAUAAAAGUAAUGACACUUGUAGUGUACUUUUCAUUUUAUUGAGCAUGAGUCAAAAAUUCACUUAAUAUGAUAAAUAAGGGAGUUAAUUCAAUAAAUAGAAAAACUAAUUGAUGACAAGUAAAAACUUGCCGAAUAUAUUUCUAAAACCUUCCAAUAAUGAUCGGUGUCUUAUGUUUUGUAUGAGCUUAAUAAUAUUUAACUAUUAAUUUCUGAUAAUCAUCAAACAAAUCUUUAUUGUUAACACCACCAACCAUUAAAAUUCAGUACUUAAAUUUUCAAUAUUUUAAUAACCUUAUUUAUCAUUGACUUAAAAGAUCCAAUAAAAUCCAGAAUUUUCAUAAUAAAUCCAGAAUUUUCAUGAUAUGGUAAAUAAGGUAAUGAUUCAUGCAACAUCAAAAACAAUUGAUGGCAAGUGGAACGUGCAAAAUAUACUGUUCAACCUUCCAAUAUUGGUCCGUGUUCGGCAUCACAGCGUACAGCGUGCCUUUACUAGAAGAUGGUGCGAGAAGCAGGCAAGCCUAGUCGACAGAAGAGCAGCCUAGUCCGUCUAUCUAUGUGCUCCUUUCUUUUUGUUACUGUAUAAACAAGGUAAAAAACCAGGAAGGCCUACUGAAAAGCCUAGACUAAUCAGCCAACAAGACUGAAAGGGCCGAUAAUGGCUGUGUCUUAAGCAGGCACAUUUCCAGAUUCAUAUUCAAGGAAGAAAUUUGACAACAUGUUCACUUAGAAUCCCAUCACUCUGAUUCUAUCCACUACACAACUCAUGGAAGGGUCACACAAGAUGUCCACCUUUUUCUGCAGAAACAAAGUAGUAACAAUCUGCAAUCUCCAAACGGUAAGUGCCUAAUAAACUGGAAGGACCAAUUAACAUGAAGUUGGUUUUGAGAGCUGGGACUGCUUGGUAAUGAUGCCUCCACAGUGAUUCAGAUUGAGGAUUUCAGAUCCUAACGAAUAAGUUAUCGCCUUCAGAUCUUGCCAUAUAAUAGAGGUCAGUGGACGAACUUUGACCGCCUCUCUUCAUCUGAAUCGACCCCGCAUGACACACCGGCGACUACUUAAACUUAUCCAGAAGGGUGCCAUCAAUUUAAUAGUCAUCAAGGUACCUGCUGAUGCCCCUUUAUUGCUAAAGCUACCGUCACCAGCCAUGAAGACGAAAUUUGUUUCGCAAAUUGUUGUCUAAGGAUUUUUAAGUAUACUAUAAACAGAAAACUCAUUUUUGCAAGGUAUUAAAUUAAGUGAAGUGCACUAAUUUACGACAUUAGGAGAACAUCAAAUAUAUAAACAAAUCACAUUUAUAUUUUUUCAAGGCACACUGACUACAAUUCACCUCAUUUAUACAGCAAGCGCGUGGACACAUGCCCUUAGAAAACAGCCAUUGAGACUUGGUCUAUUUUUUGCUUACCUGGAAGGGCAAGAAAUCUACUUUAUCAGAGACUAGAGCGUAGAAAUUUGCUCGAAGGCAGACAGAUAAGAUCUCUGUGUGAGUGUCACUGAAUGAUGUUUCUAUUAUCAUGAAGCCAUGGAGGAAUCAAAGAAGAGCACGAGGAAGAUUACACGUAUAUGACCUCAGUUGCUGGUCCCGUCAUAGUUGAUGAAACUAAUUUUCACUUUCUCAGCAGUAAUGAACCUUACCAGCAUCUCAGCAAUGAGUCGCUUGAUCUUCUUAAGCUUUCUUGACAACGCUAACUCCAACAAGAAGUUGCACAGAAAUUGCUAGGUGAAUACCAAUAAGUUCUUUUUGCCUGAGCUUUUGAAGAGGUGACGGUUCAAAAGUCUUGUCCACUAUAAAGUCUUGUGUGAAGUGAAGUUGAUUCGUUACCAUAAACCCCCGACCAAUUCUUUUACUUGACGAAGCAAGCUUUUGAAAGCUUUUAAAACAAUGGUGUUCUGAAACAAAAUAGUUGACUGCAAAUGUUCAUUAACUUUCCCCGGAAACAAUCAUCUGAAAUUGAUAGCAUGCCGAUGCCGAUAGCCAUUCAAGAAAAUGUCAGCUGUCAUUAAUAUUAAUCUUGAAAAUAUAUUCAGUACUUGCAGUGAACUCGUCUAGUACUUAAGAAUUUUGAUUAGAACUAUAUCAGAAGUUUCCGAUAAGCUUCCUGGAUAUAAAACAAUAGUGGAUUGGAAAUUAAGUAAUUUUCCUAUUAUGUCAUCUGAAAAGUUAAACAUCAAUUUAAUAAAAAAUUCACAGAAUUAGGUAUGUUAAGACACAAACCAAUCAAAUUAAGUAGCAUGCAAUAAUACUAAAAGAUAUUGAAAUGUCAUUCUCAACUUAGCCUAGACAAAGAGUGUAAGGGUUUUUUAUUUGUUAAGCGGGUGUACAUCAUGACCAAACAGCCAUGAACUGAUGGAACAGCCAGACGUUGCUUGACCAAUUCCACACCAAAACCCAGCCAAUGGAAGCACUAAGCUACAGGAGACCAUCUAGUAGAAGUUUUGUUUAAACAGAAUUGCUAAUUUUAAUUAAUAUAAAAAUACAAAAAAGAUUGUAUGACAUAUCAUAUCAUUUAGAUUGCAUGAUAAAAAUACAAAAGAGAGAGAAGGCUGAACAGUCAAAAGAAGAAAGAGAAAGAAGAAGGAGAAAGAAGAAGGAGAAAGACCAAGAGUCUUUAGGAGAGAGGAAGAAAAGAAGAGAGAGAGAGAGAAGAAAAAGGAGGAGAUAAAAGGGAAAAGAAGGAAAGAGUGAGAGAGAGAGGCACGACCGGAGAGCUCGUGCAAGGGAAAGAAAGGAAAGAAAGAAGAAGGAGAAGAAGGAAAAAGAGAAAAAGGCUUCUACCAUAGGAGCCUGGCCAAGCUGAUUCGAUUGCAUAUCGCAACGCUCGGCAAGUACUCUCACCUCUCAUUCGUUCAAUCGAAGUAGUUUCGGACUUAGGGCUCGAAAUUUGAAAUUAUUAGAGAUUCAUGCAGCAAAAUUCCAUUUUUGAAUAAUUAAGCUGCGUAUUUAUAUAGAAAUGAUAGUUUAGGGUGUUGUGAAACUGUACAAUUUUACAGAUCUUGAUUUGAGGUUACAGUUUGCCCAAAACAAAAUUUUGAAGUGUCUCGCGCGUGAUGGAUAGUGUGCAUCUAGGAUUUUGGGGCCGUAUUUUGUCGAUUUUCGGCUUGAUUUUGGAAGGGUCAAGUUCCGGUCCUUGUAGUAUGUUGAAAGUGUUUUCUAUUGACUAUAGGAAUGUUUCAGUGGAAAAAAUUAUAACGUGACCAAGUUUUGCGCUCAAGCCUUGCUAUGUAUGUGAUUUGUUAGUGCGUAGGUGUCUUUUUAUCAAAUAUAAGUAUAAUUUAGUCAAGUCGUUAGUUGAGAUAGCGUUCUACUUAGUUUUGAUGAUAUUUCCCACUUAUAUGAUAGGAAUGUGAGUUCAUUGAUUCAAGUAAGCCUUGUUAUUUGGUUUGGGGCAUAUUUAGGUAAGUGGUGCUAUCUCUUCUAAGAAUUUAUACAGUCAUGUUUUCAAAAUGAUAAAGAUUUGAUAUGAUAUGAAAUAUAAAUAAGCAUGUUUGUUGCAUUAAAUUUGAAUCGAGCAUUUACUACAUUUUGGUAUUUGUGAAUUGUGUAAGAAAUGGUUAGUGGAAAAAUAUAUUCUGUUUGAGGAAUGAAAUUGAGAAAUAUUAUGUAUUUUGGGUUUGCAAAACCUUUUUACGAAAAGCUCUUUGAGCAUGGAUUAUGGAAUGUUAUGUAUAUCGAUUUGUGAAAUUCUUUACGACAUACAUUUGAUUUGACCGAUUUAUGAAACGAGUCUUGAAAUGAUUUGAGAAAUUUUUUACGAAAAAUAUUUCUAGUGAAUGAGCUGGAUUACGGAAAGAUUAUGUGUUUUGAUUUGUGAAAACGAUUUAUGAUAUAUAUUUCGGUUUGGCUUUGUGAAUUGUGGAGGUUGUUGUAGAUCUGUGUUGAUGCUCAAUAUCACUAUGAGCUUGAGGAGAAGCUUGUGGAUAUGCACAUAUUAGUCUAGGAUAUCCUUAUGGACCGAGCCACCGGCUAAUAAUAGGUGAAGAUCUUGCCAAGGGAGAAUCUUGGUCGCCUUGUCACUAGGCGUUGUGUUGUGAUCAUAAUUUGAUAUUGAGCAACAGAUUAGUCAAUGGAGUGGACCAUUAACAUGUUAUAUGAGUUUAGUUGAUGAAAUAGACCAUUAACAUAUGAUUUGAGUUUAGUCGAUGAAAUGGACCAUUGACGUGUGAUUUGAAAUUAGUCACUGGAAUGAACCAUCAACAUGUGAUUUCCUAUGAAAUGAAUCAAUGGAAUAAACCCUUGAUGUGUGGCAUGAGAUUAACCAAUGGAAUGGACCAUUGGCAUGUGAAUUAAUGAAAUUGAUAAAUAGAUUGGACCAUUGAUGUUUAUUUUGAUAUUAUUGUGAAAUAAAUAUGUUGAAGCAUAUGUAACUUAUUAUUUUAUUGUAUGUUUGUUAUAUUCUGGAUUUAGGUUAAAAGAAUUGUGAUUUGGUUUUGUAAAUAUGCAUGGUGUUGUUUGAUCUACUUAGAAAAGAUGCACUACUCAUUGAACUGUUGUUCACCCCUCUAUUUUAUAAUCUUUUUCAGGUUUCUUAGCUAGCGACAUGUAGUACGAGAGUGAUAUUUGACACUAGAACUUUUGAGAAUUGAAUUUUUGUGGUUUGAAACGGUGUCCUUUAGGUGAAAGGACGGCCGUGUCAUCUCCAUUUUUGAUGAUUUUGUGGUGAGACAAUACCAGCUAGUGUAUUCUCCAGAACUUUGAUAUCAGCAAAAUAGAGAAUGGCAGAAAUCGCAGUAAACUGUCUACUUGGCAAGCUCAAGGACUUUCUAGAGAAUGGGGUUCUAUUGGGAGGUGCCGAGGAAGAAGUUACUUUAGUGAAGAGGCAAUUGGAGUACGUCAGGGCAUUCCUGAGGAUUGCAGAUUCCCUGGAAGAGAGUGACGAGGAAGUCAAAGUUUGGGUGAAGCACCUGAGAGAAAUCGCAUAUGACACUGAAGACGCUCUUGAUGAGUUCAAACUUCUCCUUGCGCAUGAUCAUGGAAUUGGUAUUCCCAGUCUUCUAUCCAAGUUGUCCUGCUGUAUCAAGAACAUGAAAGCUCGAUACCGAAUUGCUUCGGAGAUGAAAUCCAUCAACUCCAGAAUCAAAAGCAUCUACGAUGGACACUGGAGAGUCCGAGACAAAUUAAAUGAAGUCGAACAUCGCUAUGGCUCUAGUAAGCCAGACGACACAUGGCAGGACCAGCGAGGGAAUGCUCUUCUUUUAGACAAAGCUGAGCUCGUUGGCAUUAGUGAACCGACAAAAAAGCUGGUCGGCUGGCUGAUUGAGGGCGCUUCCACUCGGCAAGUAAUCUCAGUCGUGGGGAUGGGAGGACUGGGGAAAACUACAUUAGUGAAGCAAGUUUACGAAGAUCCAGAAGUGAAGAAACAUUUCAUGGUACGUGCUUGGAUAACUCUUUCUCAAUCUCCAAAUAUAGAAGAGAUCCUCCAAGGCAUGGUUCGACAAAUUAUGAGGGAGACCGAAGAACCAGUUCCUCCUCCAGAGGACAACAAGGACAGAUUAUGCCAAAAGAUGAUUAUCAAGGACUUGCUACAAAAAGCAAGGUACCUGAUCAUUGUAGAUGAUGCAUGGCGAUUAAAUGAAUGGGAUGCGAUCAAACAUGUGUUCCCUAACAACACCUGUGGCAGCAGAAUAAUCAUCACAUCCAGGAAUUCUGAUUUAGCAUAUACUUCAUGUGGUGAAUUCAGAGGGAUGGUUUACAAGAUGGAGCCCCUACCACCUGAACAGUCAUGGAAGCUUUUCUGCGCAAAGACAUUUCAGGGGAACUCAUGCCCUCCUCAUCUAGAGGAGACCUGUAGGCUUAUUCUAGGAAAGUGCGAGGGGUUGCCACUAGCUAUUGUCGCCAUCAGUGGUGUUUUGGUUUCAAAAGAUAUGAGAAAAAAGGAGGAAUGGGAUCGGGUCCGUCGCGGUCUUCGUACUGAAAUCAAUUGCAACAACAAAUUCAAAACCUUGAAGAGAGUCCUUUCACUUAGUUUGGAUGACCUGCCAUACUACUUGAAGUCUUGUUUCCUGCACUUGAGCGUCUUUCCUAAGGGUUGCAUCAUUGACUGUGGGAAAUUAAUUCGAUUAUGGAUUGCAGAAGGAUUUGUAGACAAAAAAGAAGGCAUGAAGGAAGAAGAAGUAGGCCAGGACUACUUAAAUGAGCUCCUGAACAGAAGCCUGAUAGAGGUGGCUGUUAAAGCAAACGAUGGAAGGAUGAAAUAUUGCCGUAUCCAUGAUUUUCUUCUGGAUAUCAUUACCUCACAGUCGAGCAACCAAGGCUUUGCAGAAAUAGCCACAGAAAGACAUCAUAAAUUGCCUGAUAAAGUUCGUCGCCUAUCUAUACAGACCAGCCUGCCAGCUAUGCAAAAGAAAAGGUCAUUGUCUCAACUACGUUCUUUAUACAUGUUUGGGGUGGAGAGAUCUUCCAUAGAUGCUGUUCUAGGUAGUGAAAUGAGACUUCUCACUGUUCUGGACUUGCAAGCUGCUCCUUUGACAAGGUUCCCAGCUCAAGUUGCUGAGUGGUGCUGCCUGAGAUAUCUUUGUUUCAGGUAUAGCAAGGUGAGAACAGUUCCAAAUUCCAUAGGAAACCUUCAAAACCUAGAGACCCUAGACCUUAAAUACACGUAUGUCAGAGAAUUGCCAAUUGCAAUCUUGAAGCUCCAACAACUUCGCCAUCUACUCAUAUAUCGUUAUGAAAACACAGCCGACUCAUGGUUUAAAUAUGGUUUCAAGUCCCCAGAGGAUAUAGGGGCUCUACAGUCCCUCCAAAAGCUGUGCUACAUAGAAGCAGAUGACAGGAGAAACAGCGGCUUAAUGAGAGAGCUUGGAAAGUUGACACAAUUGGUUAGGUUAGGCAUUGUGAAGUUGAGAAAAGAAGAUGCAAGGGAAUUGUGCUCGUCGAUUGAAAAAUUAACCAAGCUUCAAUCAAUAUCUGUAAGUUCAGUCGAUGAAAAUGAGAUUAUUGUUCUACAACCCCUCUCUUCUCCACCUCCUUUUCUCCAGAGAAUCUACUUGAUAGGACGUCUGGAGGCAUUACCACAUUGGAUAUCAUCUCUUGAUAGCCUAACGGUAUUGCAACUGAGAUGUAGUCAGCUAAAGGAUAGUCCACUGUUGUCUCUUGGGAAUUUGCCUAAUCUU